UGUGCACUGGAGGGGUCCCUUGGCCUGGCCUGUGCCCUCUCACAAUCUAGGAGACCCCUCGGGGGAUGUCGGAGAGCUGGUUUCAGCCCGAUCUCCGCAGGCCAGGCCAAGGGACCCCACCAGUGCACG
rnacentral:pre_miRNA from 1 species